rnacentral:tRNA from 1 species
GUACAUAUAGUUUACAAAAACAUCAGACUGUGAAUCUAAAGACAGGGGAUAACACUCCUUAUCUAUC